UCCAAUCUCACCUCUCAAUUUUGUUAUGCCAACUUUCACUUAUAUCGAUAAUACAUACAUUCAUUAUUACCUUACUUGUCAAAAAAAAGAAAGAUAAUACAUACAUUCAUCAUUGUGGUGAACUCCACCUGGUGUCCUUUUUUCAAGCAAUUGAGCAUUGGCAUCUGUUCAUACCUGGAAUACCAGUAGGCCUUAGUUAUACUAUUUUAAGAGCAAAAUGGAACCCCUCUUAUCGUAGUGUUUUUGUGAGGACCUAAACAAGAAGUUAUAUAAUUUUAUGUGCAGAAAAUAUGGUGUCAGUUUUCAAUGUUUUGAUAUUUGUUCUCGAAAAAAGAAGUCGUGGAAGAGCCUCAUAUUACAUGAAAUUUAGUGAGAUCUAUCCAUUUUGUACAGAGCUAAGUCUUACUCUUUUGUCUUCAGUCAACUGGAGCAUAUAAAGCAGCAUCUCGUUUAGCAAGUGCAACACCACCCCCUGCUCAUGUUCUGAGUCGUGGCAUUGGCUGGCAGGUUCGUGCAGUAAUUUUUUAAAAAACAUUAUGUUUAUGUCACAUAUCAAUAGGUAGAUAAUGCUAACAGCCUAGAACUUCUAAUCCUUUCCAACUUUCCAAUCUCACCUCUCAAUUUUGUUAUGCCAACUUUCACUUAUAUCGAUAAUACAUACAUUCAUUAUUACCUUACUUGUCAAAAAAAAGAAAGAUAAUACAUACAUUCAUCAUUGUGGUGAACUCCACCUGGUGUCCUUUUUUCAAGCAAUUGAGCAUUGGCAUCUGUUCAUACCUGGAAUACCAGUAGGCCUUAGUUAUACUAUUUUAAGAGCAAAAUGGAACCCCUCUUAUCGUAGUGUUUUUGUGAGGACCUAAACAAGAAGUUAUAUAAUUUUAUGUGCAGAAAAUAUGGUGUCAGUUUUCAAUGUUUUGAUAUUUGUUCUCGAAAAAAGAAGUCGUGGAAGAGCCUCAUAUUACAUGAAAU
rnacentral:lncRNA from 1 species